UGUAAUGAUCUAUGGUGUUACGAGCUGCUGCGUUUAUCGGGUGAUCGACUCGUGAACAGACUUAAAUACGUGAUCUGGUGGGCCCCUUUACGCGCUCUAGUGGUGGCCUAUAACAGAGGCAUAUUAAGUGGUCAACGAGUGCUGGGUGUUGUGUAUGAGGAGUUACAGCGCCGCGGUGUUUUAGAAGCUCCCCGCGUAAGAGGCCUUGUCGAUGAAAUCAGAUGUAAGUACCAUUAGCUCGAUAAAUCACUGUUGUUGGCGGUUAGCAAUACAGCAGUUAUUUUUACCAUAGGCUAUCGGCAGUUUUACGAUGCGGGGAGUGACGAAGAAGAGGCUCUCGCUGAGGCGACGAGAGCUGCGGAGGAAACGGAUCUAGAGCGUCAAGCCGUCCUCUACCAACCGCUGCAUGAGGAGGGGGUAGGGGAAGAGCCUAGAGCGAGCACCUCGGCAGCCCCGGCCGAGCCGAUACCGCAGGAUUUCACCAUAGGCCAUCGGCAGUUUUACGACGCGGUGAGCGACGAAGAAGAAGAAGAGGCUCUCGCUGAGGCGACGAGAGCUGUGGAGGAAGCAGAGCAUCAAACCGCCCUCUACCAACCGCAGUAUGAGGAGAGGGCUGAGGAAGAGCCUAGGGCGAGCACCUCGGCAGCAUCGGCCGAACCGAUACCGCUGCAACCCGAGUCUGAUGACGACGAGGCG